rnacentral:rRNA from 1 species
GAUGAACGCUGGCGGCGUGCCUAAUACAUGCAAGUCGAGCGAAGCGGGGACGGGUGAGUAACACGUGGAUAACCUCCUAUAACACUGCGAUAACUUCGGGAAACCGUUGCUAAACCGGCUACUUAUAUAUGGAUGCUCGUUGCAUUAGCUAGUUGUUAAGGGAACGGCUUACCAAGGCAACGAUGCAUAGCCGACCUGAGAGGGUGAUCGGCCACACUGGAACUGAGACACGGUCCAGACUCCUACGGGAGGCAGCAGUAGGGAAUCUUCGGCAAUGGGCGAAAGCCUGACGGAGCAACGCCGCGUGAGUGAUGAAGGUCUUCGGAUCGUAAAACUCUGUUAUUAGGGAAGCGGUACCUAAUCAGAAAGCCACGGCUAACUACGUGCCAGCAGCCGCGGUAAUUC